GAUAACUGUAAUUAAAAAUAACAGAUUAGUAAAAGUUUGUUCUCGAAAAUUAAAAGAUUUGGCGGUAUUUUAGUCUUUUUAGAGGAACCUGUCCUAUAAUUGAUAAUCCACGAUAAAUUAAACUUUUUUUUUAAAUUUAUAUAUCGUCGUGGGUUGAAUAUUUUAUUAGAAUUUAAAUAUUCAAAAUUUAUUAUUAUAAAAAAAUUCAGAUCAAGAUGUAGUUUAUAAUAAAGGAGAGAUGGGUUACAAUAAAUUUAUUUAGAAUGGAUUAAGAAUUUAAAAUUUUUAUGAAGGUGGAUUUAAAAGUAAUUAUCUUUAUUUAAGGUUAAUGAUUUUAGCUCUAAAAUAUGU
rnacentral:rRNA from 1 species